rnacentral:misc_RNA from 1 species
UCCGGUUUGACACCGGCAGUCUCGUUAGAGUCCCCGACAUGACUCGCUGGCAACUAACGACAGGGGUUGCGCUCGUUGAGGGACUUAACCCAACACUUCACAGCACGAGCUGACGACAGCCAUGCAGCACCUGUGCACGUUCCACCCGAGGGCGUCACUCCUGUUUCCAGAAGCUAAUCCGUGCAUGUCAAGCCCAGGAUAAGGUUCUUCGCGUUGCUUCGAAUUAAGCAACAUGCUCCACCGCUUGUGUGAGCCCCCGUCAAUUCCUUUGAGUUUUAGCCUUGCGACCGUACUCCCCAGGCGGCGCACUUAGUGCUUUUACUACGGCCGUGACCGGGUCAGACCGGCCACGACCUAGUGCGCAUCGUUUACGGCGUGGACUAC